GGUGACCUCGGAUCAGGUAGGAAUACCCGCUGAACUUAAGCAUAUC
rnacentral:rRNA from 1 species